GGAGAGCAUGUCUUGCGGCGGUGAUGGAUGAAUGGUGGUGAUUUUGGUGCGGUUCGUUUUCUCUCUUCUUCACCCUUUCUAUCGUUCUUUUUUGGAUCUAUUGGUACUAUUGAGUUGUAUUUUGUAUGGUUUUCUGACAGUUUCUCAAGGUUACGGAUCUGAGACACGAACAACAAUGGUUGCGUUUCUGGAAAGGUGGUUUUGGUGGUGGAAAGAAGGUGUUUCGAAUUCGCGACUUUAAGGGGAUUAAUUUAUGUGGUUUAUAGUUGUUAAUGGUUAAUGUUCUCAAGGUUGCGGACCUCAGAAGCGAAGAACAACGAUUGUAACACCCAAAAACCCCGACCUCUUUAUUUAUAAAAUAAUUCAAUUAAAUUUAUCAAAUAAGGCAUUGCACAUUCGUCAC
rnacentral:lncRNA from 1 species